rnacentral:rRNA from 1 species
UACAGAGGUCUCAAGCGUUGUUCGGAUUCAUUGGGCGUAAAGGGUGUGUAGGUGGCGCCGUAAGUCGGGUGUGAAAUUUCGGAGCUUAACUCCGAAACUGCAUUCGAUACUGCGGUGCUUGAGGACUGGAGAGGAGACUGGAAUUCAUGGUGUAGCAGUGAAAUGCGUAGAGAUCAUGAGGAAGACCAGGGGCGAAGGCGGGUCUCUGGACAGUUCCUGACACUGAGACACGAAGGCCAGGGGAGCAAACGGG